GUUUUCUUGUACUUCCUAGGGGGCCCUGCAUGUGACUGUUGGGGUUGUGUGCAAGGAGGAGGCUCUGAGAGCCUGAACCUCAGAGAAAACUCUGAGGUCUAGGGAACCUUCAGCCCUGGAUGCAAGGCCUCAUUGCUGUCGCUGUGUUCUUGGUCCUUGUUGCAAUCGCCUUCGCCGUCAACCACUUCUGGUGCCAGGAAGAGCAGGAACCUGGGAGCACGAUGAUGAUCACUGGAAACAAGGCCGAUGGGGUUCUGGUGGGCAUGGAUGGCAGAUACUCUUCAAUGGCAUCUGGUUUUAGGUCCAGUGAGCACAAGAAUGCCUUCGAGAAUGUUCUGGAGGAAGAGGGCAGGGUCCGCAGCACACCCAUGUGACCAGCUCCUCUAUGGCCCUAGUCCCCAGGCUACAGGGAAUGUGGAGUUGAUGCCUACCAUCUCACCCAGCCACUGUUCUACAGGAAUCUAUUGAAACAAGCUGACCUCUCACCUCUCUUGAAUCACAGCCAUCUCAGGCUAGGACUCAGACCAAGCUGAGCACAGCUUAUGCUGUGGCCCGGGGGUUCCCUGGGGUCUUCCAGCCAGUUCUGAGGAGCUUUGUAAAGAGACGCCUGGCUCAGCUCCUCCCCUCCCUGCUCCUCCUGCAACUAUGGAAGUGGCUCUUAUUUCUGUGAAAUAAAGACUUUUUAUACUUCUGG
rnacentral:lncRNA from 1 species